rnacentral:Y_RNA from 1 species
GACUGGUUCAAAGGUGGUGAGUCAAUUGAUUUUUUUGGUCAGUUAUAGAUUGAAUUUUUUUUCUAUUCUUCCCACUACUGCCUUGACUAGCUUAAA